CAUGAAGCUGGAAUUGCUAGUAAUGGCAGGUCAGCAUACUGCCGUGAAUACGUUCCCGGGCCUUGUACACACCGCCCGUCACACCAUGAGAGUUGGAAAUGCCCGAAGUCGGUGACCGAACCGAAAGGAAGGAGCCGCCGAAGGCAGGUCUGGUGACUGGGGUGAAGUCGUAACAAGGUACC
rnacentral:rRNA from 1 species